rnacentral:lncRNA from 1 species
AUUUAUUUAUAUAAUCUUUGGCUACCAGUACAAGUGAUAGCGCUAGGUUACCAUUACAAGACAGGGAGCGACUGUUUUUAUCUUGUUUCGUUACUAAGGGUUGUACAGUUCUGAGGAUGCUUAAAAGUUAGGUCAGGUACCGUAUCAACAGAACUAGUGUUGCAAUGGGUGACGACACCGUCAGUGUUUUAUCCGAACAUUAUGUUUUUUAGAAUACAAUGACRCCUGCAAUUGUGCUUGUUUCCUGGCACACUCUCCUUCACCGUGGCAAAACAUUCAGGARAACUUCAGUGCCCGUAUAAGUGGGAAUGUGAAAGAAUAUACAGGUAUCUGACCAAAUAAAGUAUCUUAACAAGGAGCCACCAUGAGCCAGAACAGCUUCAAUACACCUUGCCAUACAUUCUACAAGUGUCUGGAACUCUAUUGGAGGGAUGCAACACCUUUCUUCCAAGAGAAAUUCCAUCAUUUGGUGUUUUGUAGAUUGUGGUGUAAAACGCUGCCUCAGGCUCGGCUCCUAGAGUCUCCUAUAAGUGUUUCAUUGGUUUGAGAUCUGGAGACAGACACACCCUUUAAAGCCCUUACGCUCCUUUGAGAGCCCUCUUUCAGAGUCACUGAAAUCUCUUCUAGCCCUGUUAGCCAAAAUAAUGGGCAACUGGAAGUAGUUAUACAUGACCCAAUGCAUGAUGGGAUGUUUUAAUGGCUUAAUUAACUCAGGAACCACACCUGUGUGUAUAUACUUUGUAUCCCUCGUUUACUCCAGUGUUUCCAUUGUUUUGUAGGUUACCAGUAUGUCAAAAGCAGUUGAUGUAUCUUGACUUUUAAUUAUCUGUUGUACAUUUAGCAAAAUAACAAUUUCUAUGUUGUUAUAGAAAUGACUCAUUCUUAUGUUGUUCUCACACUUUAAGAGUUGUGAUGGCGACCAGCACACAAUGCAGUCUUCAGAUGAUGUGCUGCCCCCUCCUGGUGACAUCCAGGUCCUGUUGCUGACAUUAGAUUCUGUGUCUCUGAGCUGGAGUUCUCCUCAGGGGCUGAUCGGACCCCAGACAUUCAGAGUGACCUGGGGGUGUGACGGUGAAACAAGCUCAACAAGAGUGAAAGAUGUGCAUCAUCUUAAAAUAAGCAGUCUCAAACCUGGUGAAAAGUACCAGUUCAAUGUGGCAACAGAGGGAGAAGAUGGAAGACAAAGCAGAUGGGUCUCAGCCUCCCUAUCCACAGUACUUCCUGCUCCAGACCAGCUGACUGUUGACUCAGUGGACACCACAUCAGCUGCUGUUAGCUGGAGCCAGCACACAGGAUUGGACCACACCCAACAUCAUUACAGAUCUCCUAUCGCUCGUUCCAGGGAAAACCACACAUCACGACCACAUCUUCACCAGCAUCACUCUCUGUGA